rnacentral:sRNA from 2 species
UUCAACUUCUGACAGAGCUGACAACGCUGUCUCUUGCCUCUGACACACUCAUGAUUUUGUGGAACUGUCUUGUUGCAAUUCUCACAAGUGAUAGCCAACGAUUUUCCUAGGCACUGAUUCUUCACAUGGUUGGAAUAGUCCUUUGACCGAAUAGUUUUCUCACAGAGUGUGCACUGUUUGCUUGGCGGGGCCAUUGAUCCAAGCUGAUUUGAAAAACGAUAAGUGGUGGCAGAUGGCGGCGGAGAUGGAGGAGAUGGAGAUGGCGAUGGCGAUGGCGAUGGCGAUGGCGAUGGCGAUGGCGAUGGAGAUGGAGAUGGAGAUGGAGAUGGAGAUGGAGAUGGAGAUGGAGAUGGAGAUGGAGAUGGAGAUGGAGAUGGAGAUGGAGAUGGAGAUGGCGAUGGAGAUGGAGAUGGAGAUGGAGAUGGAGAUGGAGAUGGAGAUGGAGAUGGAGAUGGAGAUGGAGAUGGCGAUGGAGAUGGAGAUGGAGAUGAACAGGAGCCCGGAUAGCAACACUAGCGAUAAGCUGACAACACAUUCCACUGCUUUCACCAAUAGGGAGAAUGCAUUUCAA